ACUAGCAGUAAUAGCACCUUGAAUGCACCAGUUUCUAGUUUCUAAUGGAUCAAUGAAGUUAAUUAAUGCUGUGCGUGGUUGGUAUCCGGAUGGGUGGUCAUCUGGGGAAUCGCUGGCUGCUGGCU
rnacentral:rRNA from 1 species